UAGAAAAUCACUGAGAGCCAA
rnacentral:piRNA from 1 species